rnacentral:tRNA from 1 species
GCGGAUGUGGCGGAAUUGGCAGACGCGCUAGAUUCAGGUUCUAGAGCUCGCAAGGGUGUGCAGGUUCAAGUCCUGUCAUCCGCACCA